rnacentral:misc_RNA from 1 species
CUCCGAACAAGAAAUAGCCUGAUCAUGACAGUAUUCAAAGUACAAAUUUAGAAACAAAGACAGGGAGAGAAGUGAAGGGUGGUGGUUGGGGGGUAAUUUUGCGACAACUUUCAGUCUUCUUUAUCAGCAAAUCAGUAUACAGGACCUUACAUGAUACUUUCAUUGAUAGAACUUGCCCAUCACUGUACAAAACAGAAUUAUGUUACCAAAAUUAUUUUUGGCAAACAUAGAAUUAUAGAGGAAGGGAAGGAGGAGAAAAUUUUAAGGGAGAAGAUUAGUCACCCUCUAGAUAAUAAAACAUGACAUGACCGACGGUUAAUGCUGGCAAUGUUUUAGACACGGGACAAAUGAUCAAAACCUAGUAUUCAAACUCUAGUUCUGCAAGAAAGAUAAAAACAGCACAAUACCUACCAACUACAUAAAUUAAAGCAUGCAAAACCAUAAACUACGCAAGAUGAGAAACAAGAGGGAGAUGAUAUUUCCAAAUUUUGGGUAACAAUGAAAAAUUGAAAGUUUAAAGAACCACAAUGAUAACAAAAAAGGGUAAAAGGAAAAGGAGAAGGAAUAACUGGAAGAAAUACAAAAACAAAAAUUUAGAACAGACCUGCAAUUAUUGUCAUUGGGU